rnacentral:siRNA from 1 species
GCUGGAUUAUGACUGAACGCC